rnacentral:rRNA from 1 species
GAUGAACGCUGGCGGCGUGCCUAAUACAUGCAAGUCGAGCGAACGGACGAGAAGCUUGCUUCUCUGAUGUUAGCGGCGGACGGGUGAGUAACACGUGGAUAACCUACCUAUAAGACUGGGAUAACUUCGGGAAACCGGAGCUAAUACCGGAUAAUAUUUUGAACCGCAUGGUUCAAAAGUGAAAGUCGGUCUUGCUGUCACUUAUAGAUGCAUCCGCGCUGCAUUAGCUGGUUGGUAAGGUAACGGCUUACCAAGGCAACGAUGCAUAGCCGACCUGAGAGGGGGAUCGGCCACCCGGGAACUGAGACACGGUCCAGACUCCUACGGGAGGCAGCAGUAGGGAAUGUUCCGCAAUGGGCGAAAGCCUGACGGAGCAACGCCGCGUGAGUGAUGGAGGUCUUCGGAUCGUAAAACUCUGUUAUGAGGGAAGAACAUAUGUGUAAGUAACUGUGCACAUCUUGACGGUACCUAAUCAGAAAGCCCCGGCUAACUACGUG